AGUGGCAGGUGAGGCCGCGUGGGGCCAGCGGCGGCUCCUUGCUGGUCUGUGGCUCUGGGCCCAAGACCCGAGCCUCCUACAGGGGCGGCCCCCUGCCUGAGGCGCGGGUGGGUUCCGACCUCCGAGAGCCGGUCUGGAAGCACUGAGGGGCCCCUACUUUUGCCCCCGAAGUCAGCGGGGCAACAGCCGCUCCCUUGCAGGAGCCGGGCCGUGGGCUGAGGGCCCCGGUGGGUGAGAUCGGUGACCCCCGAAAACUCCGACCAAAGAGCUGCAGCAAGAAAGGAGUUGGUUCCCACAAACCGCCCAGAGUCAAGUUCUGGAGGCUGAGAAGUUCAAGAUCAAGGUGCUGGCAGAUUUGACGUCUGACUCCCAAGUAUCAGAAGAGUGAGAUGUUUCUAAGGCCCUCGUUUUCUCUGUGCAUGGGAACUAAAAUCAGUCUGAUGGCAGCUGCACAAGAUGGGAAGGAGUAAUCCUUGAAAUUAGACCAAGGAAGCACGUGAAGUGUGUUUGCUCUCAGCCACCAGCCUCAGAAGAGCUCAAGUCCAGUCUGCUGCCACAUAGAGUGUAUCUCCCCUAAGAAAGUCAUGCUGGAAAGGCCUUCUGGUCACAGCCCUGCUCAGCUUCCAGCAACAGCCAGCAUCCACUGCCAGCCAUGUGGACAGGCCAUCUUGGGUGUCCCCAGAUGUGUUGACGACUCAGCUCAGUGGAGCCUUCAGAUUGUUGCAGUCUCCACCAACAUCUGACUGCAACCUCUUGAGAAAUGCCUUGUGACAGCAAAGCAGCCAAGCCCUUCCGUAACUCAUAACCCACAAAAUCAUUUAAAAAGAUCGUUUUUAACAAAUUGGUUUUCGGUUCAUACCACUAAAGUUUUAGGGCAAUUUGUUUUACAGUGCCAUUGGGAAAGAAGUUUCUCCCCUUUGACACACCUCCUCACCAUUCCAGCUGCUCACUUUCACUUCUGAGUGUUUGUGCUGUAGUUGCUUCAGUCCAUAUCUUCUUGGGUUUAUCUUUUCAUACUUUACACAUAUACACACACAGCCACAUAGGCACAGCCACCCACAUAGAAAAUUGAUCACUUGGCUCAGUUCUACUCCCCAGAUGACUUCAUUCAGACCUCAUUUUUCAGCUGGGAAAAAAAAAAAAAAAAAAAAAGAAAACAGGUCUGCAGGGACUAAGUUUCUUGCCCAAGGUUACAUGGCUAAGUAGUGGCCCAGCUGGAAGUAAAACCAGGUCUUCUGACACCCAGUCCAGUCCUUUUCCUGCUAAUUACUUUAAUUUCCCACUGACCUCAUAAAAUAAAAUGGGUCAUUCCUUUUCUAGUCCAGAGGCUAUAAACUCUGAAAGUGCCAAACAAGCCCCUGGGUGCAACACUUUGUGUGGCCUUCUAGGGAUGACCAGUAGGCACCUGGUAAGCAUGGUUUACAGCUGGACUGCCUGAUGGGGGGAGAGGGGCGGAAGUGAGGAAGGGAAAGAGGGAAGAGCCAAGUGGGCCUGGCCUAUGUGGGCCUCUUUCCUCCUGGGCCUACAUUCUGAAGGCCACACACUAAUUAUGGUCAGAGUGCAGGCAGGGAUUCCCGAAUGUGCUGGGAAAAUGCCAAACUAUCCCCUCAAACAUCUAUGUUACAGUCUUCCUACAAAAACAAAAGUAUUUGACAUGGUAUAUGCAUUUUUCUGAAUCAGGCUUAAGAAGAUGAGUGACUGGGACAAAAGAUUGGGAAACUCUGUGAGGAGUGGAUCUGGUUAAAUGUGCAAAGUGUAUAUCUGUGUGUUUUAUCUGCCACUCAAAGGCCCAGGCAGGCUGUCAUUAAUUCUCAGCCGCCCACUGCCCCAAAGUUGCCCCAGUUUUUCUAAGCCCUACAGCAUUGUCAUUUCAUUUGUCUGGCGAGGGAAUUAGAGCCAAUGAAUAAGAAGGCCACCACCCCCCUCAGUAAGGAUAUAUUUCCAUUCCCCUCAGCUGUCUUGCCAACUAGCAGCUCUCCCUCCCUCAACCCCCACUACCACCAUUCUCCUACACCAAAGAGUAAAGGAUGAUUAAAAGUCUUUUACAUGAGGUGUGGUUUAGUUCAAUAUGUACUGUUGGUUCUGCAAAUAUGCUGGUGGGAGGUUGACUAUGCAUGUUAUGUGCCAUAUGCCACUCUGUUGGCUGGCAUGCACUGGGAAGCUUGACAAACAAGGGAGGGGAAAUGGAUAUUCUUUCUGCUUUUGAAGCACAGUCUUUAAAAAAAACAAAAAACAAAAAAAAACCCAAGAGUUUUAGAGAAAAAAUAUCACAAAAUUACAGUUUAAAUUUGUUAAACCUUCAUGGAUUUCUUAGACUGUAUACAACUGACCUCUCAAAAACCAGCAAAAUAUUUAAUCAACCUCCUCAGAUUCAUUAAAUCAUGUUCAAAUAAAUACACCUCACUUUGUGUGCUUGAUAUGUUCUUGAUAUAUUAUGUAUGACUUGAAUGAUUGCAAAUUUGGUCAUAUUUCAAGUCUUUUCAGGGUGAUUUCAGUUUAAAUUGGUACCAUUUUGUAAAAAGAAAAUAAUUUUGUAAUGCAGAUAGUCAUUCCCUACCUUAUUUGUUUCAUAAGUUUGGACUAUUAUAUUUACAUUUUUUCCUAAAAACAAGUUAUAUCUAUAGAUAAUGGCAUGCAGGAAGACUUUAAUUUACAAGUAAUAAAACAUAAAAUUUUUAAA
rnacentral:lncRNA from 1 species